rnacentral:rRNA from 1 species
GUGGGGAAUCUUAGACAAUGGGGGAAACCCUGAUCUAGCCAUGCCGCGUGAGCGAUGAAGGCCUUAGGGUUGUAAAGCUCUUUCAGCUGGGAAGAUAAUGACUGUACCAGCAGAAGAAGCCCCGGCUAACUCCGUGCCAGCAGCCGCGGUAAUACGGAGGGGGCUAGCGUUGUUCGGAAUUACUGGGCGUAAAGCGCACGUAGGCGGACCGGAAAGUCAGAGGUGAAAUCCCAGGGCUCAACCUUGGAACUGCCUUUGAAACUCCUGGUCUUGAGGUCGAGAGAGGUGAGUGGAAUUCCGAGUGUAGAGGUGAAAUUCGUAGAUAUUCGGAGGAACACCAGUGGCGAAGGCGGCUCACUGGCUCGAUACUGACGCUGAGGUGCGAAAGCGUGGGGAGCAAACAGGAUUAGAAACCCUGGUAGUCC